GACGAACGCUGGCGGCGUGCUUAACACAUGCAAGUCGAACGAUGAAGCCGCUUCGGUGGUGGAUUAGUGGCGAACGGGUGAGUAACACGUGGGCAAUCUGCCCUGCACUCUGGGACGAGCCCUGGAAACGGGGUCUAAUACCGGAUACGACCAUCGGCCGCAUGGCCUGGUGGUGGAAAGCUCUGGUGGUGCAGGAUGAACCCGCGGCCUAUCAGCUGGUUGGUGGGGUGAUGGCCUACCAAGGCGACGACGGGUAGCUGGCCUGAGAGGGCGACCGUCCACACUGGGACUGGGACGCGGCCCAGACUCCUACGGGAGGAAGCAGUGGGGAAUAUUGCACAAUGGGCGCAAGCCUGAUGCAGCGACGCCGCGUGAGGGAUGACGGCCUUCGGGUUGUAAACCUCUUUCAGCAGGGAAGAAGCUUUCGGGUGACGGUACCUGCAGAAGAAGCACCGGCUAACUACGUGCCAGCCGCCGCCGUAA
rnacentral:rRNA from 1 species